CAGUCGCCGCGGGAAUACGAAGGGGGCUAGCGUUGUUCGGAUUUACUGGGCGUAAAGCGCACGUAGGCGGAUCGAUCAGCCAGGGGUGAAAUCCCAGAGCUCAACUCUGGAACUGCCUUUGAUACAGUCGAUCUGGAGUAUGGAAGAGGUGAGUGGAAUUCCGAGUGUAGAGGUGAAAUCCGUAGAUAUUCGGAAGAACACCAGUGGCGAAGGCGACACACUGGCUCAUUACUGACGCUGAGGCUCGAAAGCGUGGGGAGCAAACAGGAUUAGAUACCCGCGUAGUCCCUGUCUCUUAUAC
rnacentral:rRNA from 1 species